GACAGUGUGGUGUAGUGGUUUAAGUGUUGGCAUUGAACUAUGACUCUGGAGACAAGGGUUCGAAUCCCUGCACAGCCU